rnacentral:lncRNA from 1 species
GUGGCACCAUCCACCCUUCCUCAAAAGCUUUGUCAAUAAUUGCACAUUCAAUGCUUUUGAUAGAAACAGGAUUCUCAAUGAUACCAAGCACACAAGACCCUUCACAAGGUGCAGGGCACACUCGGCCAGUGAACUCAGGGAAGUUGUUUGUCUCAAGAAGCCUAUCCAGUGCUUCACGCCAUCUAUUCUGAUACACUAACUCAUUGAAUUCUGGUAUUUUGUUUCCAAGAGGACAUCCAGAGUUCUCCUACAAAAUAUUUUACGUAGCAUAGUCGAUCAGCUUUUGGCCAUUUGUAUUUCAUUGUGUGUAUCAAUCACCACAUAUUUCAGUAUUAAAACUACCUGAUGACAAAAAGGAGUUCCACAGUCCAUGCAGCGUGCAGAUUGUGUCGUAAGGAGGGGGCCAGGUUUUGAAUCUACCAUAACUUCUUUCCAGUCCCUCAUCCGAUCAUUUGGAUCCCUGUAGGACACGCCCUCUCGCUCAUAAGCGACAAAACCUCGAUGCUUGACCGCAUCAGCAACUCGGGUGGGCCUCUUCGAUGUCUUUUCCUCUUCAACCUGCAAAGACCAAAACUACAUAUAUAAAGCAUAUUGUAAAACAUCUCACAGCAUCUAAUACCUACAUGUGACUCAUGGAAAAGUCAGGUUCCUAAUAUACGGAAAUGCAGGAAUUGCAAAUUAGACAAAUCUUCAUUCCCUAAACAAAAGUGAAAGGAAGCUGUAAUGAUCUUCAUAUACAUAACAUAUAAAUACAUUGCCAGCUAUCUGUAGAAAAGAUAGAAUCUCUCUGGAAUAUGAUGAAAUAAUACAAAAGGAACACCAAAGGCCAGCUCAAUUAGAAAUUCCAUAGAUGGACUAACCUGACUGGACUCAUACUUGGAUGCAGCUGCUAACUUCUUCAGCUCUUCAAAGGCAUCUUUCUCAUUCAACUCUUCCUCUUCUUGCUCCUCUGCUUCCUUAAUGGCACGUUCUUUUGCUGCUUCGGUAGCUUCCUCCUUUUUCAUGCUUGCAAGAACCCGUUUAUAAUCUCUAGGGAAGACCUUAAUAAAUCUAGGCAAAAGAUUGUCAAAGUCAGCAAGAACUUCUUUUGCCAGUUGGCUGUUUGUGUUACGCUGGUGUUGCUGUAUCAUCAUCUUCAAAGUCAUGAUAUCUUCUUCUUCUUCAACUUUAUCGAGAUCAACCAACUCAGUAUUGCAACGAGAGUGGAACUUGGAAUGCAAGUCGAGAACAUAGGCAAUACCACCACUCAUANAAACACGGUGACGGAAUGACCCAAUCUAUUUAACUGAUCAGCAGCAGCCAGGCCUGAGGGUCCACUUCCAACAAUUGCAACUUUUUUCCUGUUAAAGAGGAAAAAUAUGAGUUAUCAAAGUUACGUAUGGUGGAGUCCAGAUGUCUAACAAUCAAAGCUAUACCUACUACAAGGACUAAUCAGCAAAAAACUAUGGUGCUGACAGCAAAAACAUGGAAGAAAGUGAUGAGCUCAUACCCAGUUCUCUCAGGAGGAGGUCGUGGCACCAUCCACCCUUCCUCAAAAGCUUUGUCAAUAAUUGCACAUUCAAUGCUUUUGAUAGAAACAGGAUUCUCAAUGAUACCAAGCACACAAGACCCUUCACAAGGUGCAGGGCACACUCGGCCAGUGAACUCAGGGAAGUUGUUUGUCUCAAGAAGCCUAUCCAGUGCUUCACGCCAUCUAUUCUGAUACACUAACUCAUUGAAUUCUGGUAUUUUGUUUCCAAGAGGACAUCCAGAGUUCUCCU